GCCUAACACAUGCAAGUCGAACGGUAGCACAGAGGAGCUUGCUCCUUGGGUGACGAGUGGCGGACGGGUGAGUAAUGUCUGGGAAACUGCCCGAUGGAGGGGGAUAACUACUGGAAACGGUAGCUAAUACCGCAUAACGUCGCAAGACCAAAGAGGGGGACCUUCGGGCCUCUUGCCAUCGGAUGUGCCCAGAUGGGAUUAGCUAGUAGGUGGGGUAACGGCUCACCUAGGCGACGAUCCCUAGCUGGUCUGAGAGGAUGACCAGCCACACUGGAACUGAGACACGGUCCAGACUCCUACGGGAGGCAGCAGUGGGGAAUAUUGCACAAUGGGCGCAAGCCUGAUGCAGCCAUGCCGCGUGUAUGAAGAAGGCCUUCGGGUUGUAAAGUACUUUCAGCGAGGAGGAAGGCGUUGUGGUUAAUAACCGCAGCGAUUGACGUUACUCGCAGAAGAAGCACCGGCUAACUCCGUGCCAGCAGCCGCGGUAAUACGGAGGGUGCAAGCGUUAAUCGGAAUUACUGGGCGUAAAGCGCACGCAGGCGGUCUGUCAAGUCGGAUGUGAAAUCCCCGGGCUCAACCUGGGAACUGCAUCCGAAACUGGCAGGCUAGAGUCUUGUAGAGGGGGGUAGAAUUCCAGGUGUAGCGGUGAAAUGCGUAGAGAUCUGGAGGAAUACCGGUGGCGAAGGCG
rnacentral:rRNA from 1 species